rnacentral:rRNA from 1 species
UACAGAGGUCUCAAGCGUUGUUCGGAUUCAUUGGGCGUAAAGGGUGCGUAGGCGGCGCGGUAAGUCGGGUGUGAAAUUUCGGAGCUUAACUCCGAAACCGCAUUCGAUACUGCGGUGCUUGAGGACUGGAGAGGAGACUGGAAUUCAUGGUGUAGCAGUGAAAUGCGUAGAGAUCAUGAGGAAGACCAGUGGCGAAGGCGGGUCUCUGGACAGUUCCUGACACUGAGGCACGAAGGCCAGGGGAGCAAACGGG